rnacentral:lncRNA from 1 species
UUGCCCUAACAAAACAAACAUCGCCUCUUCUCCUCAAUACACAGACAUCAUCCUUCUCCUCCACAACCAACAGCAUCUUUCUCCUAACAGCCGCCAUCAUCUCCUCCUCUCAUCGACAACUCCGCCGCCCUCCAUCGACGUCGCAAUAGUCCUCCAUCGCAGCGCCCUUACAGCCUCCGUUCUCCUCCGCCGCCCUCCAUCUCCACCGGCUCCUCCAACCACCGGCCUCCUCCCUCCACCGAUGCUUCGUUCAUAGAGAAAGGCCUUAAUAUUGUCGGCUGGGUAUGUUAUUUGAUGUAUUGCAACCUAAUCCAUAACAUCUUAGCUACCAAUCUAAUCUUUUUGUUGACCUAUUUUUGAGGUUAAAUCAGUUGGUAACGGAGGGUAGGCCACAUGAGAUAAUUGAUAUGUGAACCAUGUUAAAUUUGAGCUGUUAUUUUCAUUGUAUAACAGUAUCGAUUCAAGCCCUAAUUAUUAAUUGUUUGGUUAGAUUGGUAUAUUGA